rnacentral:rRNA from 1 species
UACGGAGGGGGCCAGCGUUGCUCGGAAUCACUGGGCGUAAAGGGCUUGUAGGCGGUCUGAUAAGUCCUGUGUGAAGUCCCUUGGCUUAACCAAGGAAUUGCGCCGGAUACUGUCGGACUAGAGGCCGGGAGAGGGAAGCGGAAUUCCGGGUGUAGCGGUGGAAUGCGUAGAGAUCCGGAAGAACACCGGUGGCGAAGGCGGUCCUGCUGGGCAGUAGCUGACACUGAGGCGCGACAGCG